UACGUAGGGAGCAAGCGUUGUCCGGAAUCAUUGGGCGUAAAGCGCGCGUAGGCGGCCCCGUAAGUCCGCUGUGAAAGUCAAAGGCUCAACCUUUGAAAGCCGGUGGAUACUGUGGGGCUAGAGUCCGGAAGAGGCGAGUGGAAUUCCUGGUGUAGCGGUGAAAUGCGCAGAUAUCAGGAGGAACACCGGUGGCGAAGGCGGGUCUCUUGGCCGUAACUGACGCUGAGGAGCGAAAGCGUGGGGAGCGAACAGG
rnacentral:rRNA from 1 species